rnacentral:lncRNA from 1 species
UCACCUAAAGCUUCCUCCUCUUUCUCAAUUUGUUCACAAGCAUCAGCUCGAUCCUCUGCACCCUCCCCAUUUGCUCUAUCCUUACCAAACACAAUUGACAAGUCUUCAUAAUAAGGGAAAGGCUUGUUUCUCAGGCCAGCUACAUGGGGAUGACUCUGUCAACACAAAACAAAAAUUAUUAAUAAUUUUAGAAAUACAAACAAGUGAAGAAUUAUAUUGAAAAGGCAUAAGUUGAAAGCAAACUUAGAAA